GGAUUGUGGCUCAGUGGUAGAGCGCUUGCCUUGCACGCGUGAGGCCCUAGGUUCCAUCCUCAGCACCA
rnacentral:tRNA from 1 species